GUAGGAAAAUUUUUUGUUGAUUUCCCCACUAACCAACAAAUAGAGUAUAAAAUUGUCUUCCCAUUUUCUGUGCACAGUUAAUAAAUUUUUAACAUGUUCUUGAAGGCGCUGUGUGGCCAGUGCUUUAAUGAGUCAUGCUCUGCAGUCCAGCAGUAGGUCCUAUACGGUCACCUCAGUAUUUAUCUUUCAAGUGUUCAUAGUCCUUCAUCUUGCAUUUUAUUUUUAAUUUCUCCCAGAGAAUCCCAGCUUCAUUUCCCCAGAAUCCCAGUGUAUCUGAUGUCCUGCUUGUUUUGAAGACAUAGUAUGGUUCAUGGUGCAGAAAAUGCACUCAAAAUAUUUAUGGAUGAAGAAGGAAAUGAUGGAUCUUCUCACUGUCCCUGGACAAUGUCAUUACAUCCUUGCUCUUCAACAUGCUUGAGGGUUAUACUUUCCUAUUAGUUUGGGAAACCUAAUCUGGUGCCUCAGUCCGUAAAGCAUCUGUCUACAAUGUGGGAGAUCCGGGUUCGAUCCCUGGGUCGGGAAGAUCCCCUGGAGAAGGAAAUGGCAAUCCACUCCAGUACUAUUGCCUGGAAAAUCCCAUGGACACAGGAGCCUGGUAGGCUACAGUCCAUGGGGUCGCAAAGAGUCGGACACGACUGAGCCAAGGCAAAGUGUAAGCAAUAAUCAAAUUGAAGAGGGUUCCUGAUAAGGUGAACCAUAGCCUAGAUUGGAUUAUAGGCUGUUCUUCAGAUAUAAAAGGAAGUCAAACAGACAGAGGGAUGCAUCUGUUCAGAGAAGAAGCUGCACUGCUUGGGACCUUGAAGAAAGAGAAAUCAGCUGCUUGCUGUGGAGUCCUCAGAAUCCGCUUGGCUUCACCAGCUCCUGCAAUUUGGGGUUUUGGCUAUCGAAUUAGCAAAUCAGAUGUAAUUUCAUAGCUGGAACAAGGAACAGAGCUGUGGACUGAAGCAGCAGGAGGCCUCCAAGGUCAGAGUCCAGGCAGUGAAGGAUCCCUUAAACAACAAGAAAUUAUAUUCAUGAGAAGUGUCUACAGAAAGCACAUAUCCUCUACUAUGUCAGUAGGAAGUUUCAGGGGCGGGAACCUCAGUCAUCCAAAUGAAAGACCCAGCAGUGUGAUAAGUUGGUAACUGAGCACAGUUGCCUGUGUGUUUCUCACCAGCAAGAGGGAUCCUGCUGGAUGCACUAAUUUGAGAGAUGAAUUAGCUUUUAGAUCUUCACCUCAACAUUCAUCAAUUCACUAAAGAACGAAACAUGUCAGCAAACAGUGUGGAAAAUCAUGUAGUCAAGGAUCAUUUCUUAAUGCACAUGGUCCUAUUCACACUAGAAGAAAAUCAUGUGAAUGUCCUCUAUGUAUAAAAGUCUUUAAUAAUUACUUUAGCCUCAGAUGACACAGGAUGAUUCACACUGGAGAGAAACCAAACAAAUGCAGUCUCUGUGGAAAGGGCUAUUUUCUGAGAAACCACAAUUGGGUCCACACUGGAGAGAAACGAUUUGAAUGUCAUGUGUGUGGGAAACUCCUCAAAGUUCCUACCUGGAACAUGAGAAAACACCCAGGAGAGAAGCCCUAUAAAUGUCGUCUGUGUGAGAAAAGUUUUCAUCAAAUCUCUUACCUUAGAAAACACGAGAAACUCCAUCCCAAAGAGAAGCACUAUGAAUGUUGUCAGUGUGGGAGUCUUUAGCCAAAGCUCUGGCCUUAGUCAGCACAAGAGAAUCCAUGCUGGAGAGAAACCUCACGUGUGUCUUGUGUGGGGGAAGGCCUUCAGUCAGAGUCCUGAAUUGACUCAGCACAAAAGGACCCACACAGGAGAGAAACCCUAUCAAUGUCAGCGGUGUGGGAGCACCUUCAGUCAAUAUGCAAACCGGAGAAGGCAUGAGAGAACACACACGGGUGAGCAACCCUACGAGUGUCAGCUCUGUGGGAAAUGCUGUAGUCACAGCUCUUCCCUUAGACGACACGAGGGAAUCCAGCACCAGAGA